rnacentral:rRNA from 1 species
GAUCCUGGCUCAGGACGAACGCUGGCGGCGCGCCUAACACAUGCAAGUCGAACGAGAGAGAAGGAGCUUGCUUCUUCGAUCGAGUGGCGAACGGGUAAGUAACGCGUGAGGAACCUGCCUCAAAGAGGGGGACAACAGUUGGAAACGACUGCUAAUACCGCAUAAGCCCACGGGUCGGCAUCGACCUGAGGGAAAAGGAGUGAUCAGCUUUGAGAUGGCCUCGCGUCCGAUUAGCUAGUUGG